rnacentral:lncRNA from 1 species
CCUCUAAAAUCAAACUGUUGAAAUACAUGGUUGUGUUGAAUCCAAUCCAAUGAUGGUGAUUACACGAAGGGUAAAGGGUUAAGUUCUGUGGCUUUCACUUCAGUCACUGUAACUGUCAGCUCAGGACUCACAUUUGGUUCUUUUUUAUGUUUUUGUUUUUCGAGACAGGCAUUCUAUGUGUAGCCCUGGCUGUUCCAGAACUUGCUCUGUAGACCAGGCUGGCUUGGAACUCAAGAGAGCCAUCUGCUACUGCCUUUCAUGUGCUUUUCAUGGGAUUAAAGUGUUUCACUGAACCCUGAGCUCACCGAUUUGGCAAAAGUGGCCCACCAGCAAGCUCCAAGGAUCCUCCUGUCUCACUUUUGGAGGUUGAAUUCAGCUGAGUCUUGUCCAUUCCAUGGUCACAAUCACAGUCAGUCACUGAGAGAAGUCCACGCAGGAACUCAAGCAAGGAGCCGGGAACUGAAGCAGGAUUGAAGCAGCAGCCAUGGAGACACGUUCCUCAUGAGCUCCCUCCCCAAGGCUUGCACCACUUGUUAUCUUAUACAACCCAGAACCACUGACUCAGGUGUGACACCACCCAGAGUGGGGUUGGGACCUCCCAUACCAGUCAUUAAUAAAGAAAAUGCUCC